AGAGUUUGAUCAUGGCUCAGGACGAACGCUGGCGGCGUGCCUAACACAUGCAAGUCGAACGGAGAUAUUAAUGAAGCUUGCGAUUUAAUAUCUUAGUGGCGGACGGGUGAGUAACGCGUGGGUAAUCUGCCCAUAAGUGGGGGACAACAGUUGGAAACGACUGCUAAUACCGCAUAUGCUGAGCAAUCAGUAAAGGAGGCCUCUGAAUAUGCUUCCGCUUAUGGAUGAGCCCGCGUCUGAUUAGCUAGUUGGUGGGGCAACGGCCUACCAAGGCGACGAUCAGUAGCCGGCCUGAGAGGGUGAACGGCCACACUGGGACUGAGACACGGCCCAGACUCCUACGGGAGGCAGCAGUGGGGAAUAUUGCGCAAUGGGGGAAACCCUGACGCAGCGACGCCGCGUGAGCGAUGAAGGCCUUAGGGUUGUAAAGCUCUGUUUUAGGGGACGAAUGUUACAGGGAGUAAUAUGUCCUGUAAAUGACGGUACCCUAAGGGGAAGCCCCGGCUAACUACGUGCCAGCAGCCGCGGUAAGACGUAGGGGGCGAGCGUUGUCCGGAAUUACUGGGCGUAAAGAGCACGUAGGCGGAGACUUAAGUCAGGUGUGAAAGACCGGGGCUCAACCCCGGGGUGGCACUUGAAACUGGGUCCCUUGAGGGCAGGAGAGGGCAGUAGAAUUCCUGGUGUAGCGGUGAAAUGCGUAGAAAUCAGGAGGAAUACCAGUGGCGAAGGC
rnacentral:rRNA from 1 species